GACGAACGCUGGCGGCGUGCUUAACACAUGCAAGUCGAACGGAAAGGCCCUGCUUUUGUGGGGUGCUCGAGUGGCGAACGGGUGAGUAACACGUGAGUAACCUGCCCUUGACUUUGGGAUAACUUCAGGAAACUGGGGCUAAUACCGGAUAGGAGCUCCUGCUGCAUGGUGGGGGUUGGAAAGUUUCGGCGGUUGGGGAUGGACUCGCGGCUUAUCAGCUUGUUGGUGGGGUAGUGGCUUACCAAGGCUUUGACGGGUAGCCGGCCUGAGAGGGUGACCGGCGCGACGCGGAGGGGGGGCGGGCGCAGAGCGGGGCGGGAGGCAGGGAUGGGGGUGGGAGGAGAGGGGGCGGACGCAGGGUGAGGAGCGGGCGGGUGGGGGGUGACGGGCUGGGGGGGGUACGCCGCUGUCGCGGGUGGGGGAGGGGGGGUGACGGUAAUGGGAAAAGAAGCACAGGCUACCGACGGAGCAGAAGGCGAGGUAAUAAUCGGAAGAGCACACGCCUGAGU
rnacentral:rRNA from 1 species